GUCUACGACCAUACCACGUUGAAAGCACGACAUCUCGUCCGAUCUGUCAAGUUAAGCAACGUUGAACCUGAGAAUCCCGGAUGUUGUAGACA
rfam:Wuchereria bancrofti cont1.2788, whole genome shotgun sequence.